GCCCCGUAAAACAGGCAUCAAAAGGGAAAUAGACGAAGCUCUAAGACCAGGUGUAUAUGCUUUAAUAGAUACUUGCUCAGCAGAUGAUCUUCAACGCCUUCAUACCUUAUUUGGAGAGGGUCCUUGCAGAAACACUCUGGCCACCUUGAAACAUGAUUACGAACUCAAUUUCCAAUACCAGGGAAAAGUCUAAGGGAAGCUUAUUCCUAUGUGGGCUAUACUGGCAUCGUCAUUUUGAUGCGACUUAUACAACUCUUCUAACAUGUAAGUUGUAACAAAUAUUACAUGCAAUGUAUGUGAUAAUAAAUUUUGUAGUCAUAUCUUUCUCAUUUUCGAAGCUACAAUGGGUAGCAUCCUCAUGGAAAUGGAAGUAACAAAGCUGUCUGUUAGUAAUAGGGACUCGGGUCUAACAGAACAGAUGGGAAGGCGGGUACUUUUUGUGUAGCUCUAUUUUGAGGGACUUGAGCCUAACAUAUGUACCUUCCUUGGUUUUGCAUUGUUCCGUGUUAAUUUAUACAUUCAA